CCCAAACUUGUGUGAGCUGCCUCCUCUGGGAACAGUCACGCUUUCUCCCCCCCACCUUGGAUGGGAUCCCGAUGGAAACUCAUCGAGGCCUCCUAAGCGGUCGGAGACGGAAGAAAAAUAGUUACUGGGGAAAGAUCACUCCAGAGUGCAGCAAAGCCGGAUGCAAAAGGAAAAAAGACAGCUACACUUUGUGUUAUAUAUGUCUGAAAACCAAAGGUUUACAUCACCUGGAGUGUUAACAGGAGGUCGUGGUCCUAAAGAGAGAAUUAAACACCAUGAGGUGAGUGAGUUGUAACAGUCAGUGAGGGUGGAUGCAUUGACUUCAGAGAGGGUGAGUUUAAGCUGUGCUGCAUGGGGAACCGCUGAUAUUACAUGUGGCUUCAUUGCUCAUUCUUUGCUAUGGGGGACAGCCAGCAGCUGCUUCUCGCUGUUUGAGUGUAGUAUGGAGAGGGUGUCCAUAAAACCCCAAUACCGCCCUUUCCAUCACAGCUCCGGUUGGGACACUGUGAAUUUCUCACCUCUAACUCUUCAGCAGGGAGAAAGCCAUCAUCCACUUCUCCCUGAAUUCUUCCCCCCACCUUUGGACUUGCCCCCAGCCCAGCUCCCAUCAGUGUACCAUCAGUGCUCGGGUAAAGCAAGGAAAGAGGCACUGCAGUCAGGAGCUGCAAUCCAACAACUCACAUGGGGCCACUAUUGUUUCAGCAGCCAUGGUUCUGCCUUGCAGGCUGAUUGCCAGAAAAGACUAGUGGAAUAAAGGAUCUGAUUCUGCAUUGCCUUGUACACAGCAGUCAUGGCUCAAAGUGAGUAUGAAAGUAACUUUUUGGUUGGGUAGGAUAUAAAACCCACUAUGUAUGAAAUUGGUCACCACAGGCACCAAGUGGAAUUUGGCUGAGACGUAUUGUGUGCUUUGCAGCAGGCCACUUAGAAGCAAGGAGGUGACCUGGUCAUUCAUGCCUUGGCUUUGAGAAGCAUCCUUGGAACGGAUGUUUCACUCUUUUUCCAUGCCUGCUGCUGUGCAAUGUCUGAUAACGGUUCCUAGCACUGCUACUACUUGCAUUUACACCUGAUUUAUGGCUACUGAGAAGCAGGAAAAGAAACCUGACCAGCCAACCAAGCUGUAGGCAAAGGCACAAGGGUUUCAGUCCCACUUUCUGCCAGUGCGCUUCCUCAGCUGGCUCUCCUAGCACAACGGGGUCUCAUUUUAGCCACAGGAGAACUUACCCAGUCAUCCCGAAGCAGGAUUCUGGAGACCUUAUUUCAGUGUAUCACUCUGCCAGAACCAUCUCUAUUUUUGUAGGGACAACAACUGCGCCUCCAUUCCCUUUUGGGAUAGCGUGUGCUACAUCCAGAGGGUGUUGUGAAGAUGCAGUCCCGUACUGAGCAUGUGUUUUUCAGACAGUCGGAUCCUGGGAGUUAUGGGUACACACAGUGGUACGAUGCAGGGCAAUCCAAACAUCUCAGUGAAGCCCUGUGCUAAGCCGUGUUUGGGUGUUACUGGGCAAAUUACUCACUUGAGGCUAAAUUGUGCACCUUGCGCUACACUUGAUUGUAGAUAUAUCCCUAGUUAGACACAGCAAUCAGGCAAUAUAAGUUCUGCCAGGGGACAGCUUUGAGAAAACAAUCAACAGCCCUCAAUGACUUUGACCUGGAUCCAAAGAAGGAGUCUUAAUAUGAAAUGUAUUUAUUUAUUUAUUUUCUGCCUCUGACACAAAGAUGUUAAAGCAGCAUUAAAAGUUUCUGAAAUAGGAAAAUUUUGCCUUUGUGUAUUAUCUGUUAGUGAAAUAAUAGUUAUAGCUAGUUAAAAGAUAGAUUCCUUUCAAAUUGAGUUCCCACAUCACACCAGGUUGAGUUCGUAGAAAGCUUU